UGAGCCGCACAAUCAAAAUAUCUGACGUCUCAUGUCUCUUCCGUGUUUGACGGGAGCGGACAACUCAUACCACGGUAAUCCCUUCCCCCGCAUGAUUAACGAGCGGUUAUCAUCAAGAUCCCAUCGCCGCCCUCCCACCGCAGCCGUCCUCUCUUCGUCGCCGCCCUGCCGCCCCAUCCUCCCUGGCCGCUAACGCCUUACAAUCUACCCGUCCUACCGCCCUCAACGCCGGGAAGCGAAUCCCCCCCCCUCCACGCCGGGAAGCGAGGCUGCCCUCAACACCGGGAAGCGAAUCCCCCCUCAACGCUGGGGAAUCGAGGCCGCCCUCCACGUCGAGGAAUCGAGGCUGCCCUCCACGCCGGGAAGCGACGCCGCCCUGCACGCCGGGAAGCGACGCCGCUGCACGCCGGGAAGAGAGGACGACCUGAACACCGUUACUCCGACGACACCCACAUUGGCUGAACUCACGCAACUCCACAACUUCCCUACAAUUCGACCACCGGUUGCUGCACUUUCUUCAGGUUCAGCGUCUUAAAUUUGAAUAGAGACCUGUUGCCAACCAAUGGUAGAGAUCAAAGUAUAUCAUAUUGUUAUGACAGAAAAUUAACCCAGUUAUCUUAAGUUACUGAUAUCUUAGUGCUUCGUGAUACGCACUGAUGCCAGGAUAUCAAACUCCUAAGUCACGGUUGUGUGUGCCAUUCAGGCCACUCAUCCACAAAAAGCAGAAUGCUGAUGGUGAAAAGGCCCGCUUCAAGAAAUUGGACCAAGGGUCUUUUUUGCUUUGAAGGUUGGGACACUCUUCUACCUGUAGCUCUGUCGUAGGAGGAACGUAGUACAUCUGUUUUGCGUUCAUGUCCAGGUGCAGUUCCUUGUGAGUUGCACAUCUGUAUUGUGGUCCAUUCUGAUUGAGUAUUAUUCUUCUUGAUAUCUCCUACACAACUACAUAAUAGGCUGGUAGGUAUUAGCAUGAAUGGAACCACUAGAUCAUAAAACGAGGUACAGAUGCCUUCUCCAUAAUUCCGUUUGUUGCCCAUAUCUUAUUCACGGAAAAUCCUUGUGAUAUUGUUGGCACGUUAUUUUUUGUUUUCUCGUGCUUGAUUAGUGCCUUCCCCUCAUGUGUUGCGAAUUACUUGGGUUAGGAUGAGCUGGACCAAAAAUUUCAUAUUCAGCUUUGACAAUGUGUUCUAUGAUGAGGCUGAACAAUCUGAUGUCUAUAUUUGUCUGACAGUCAACAUUGUUAAACAUUUUGAUUAUUUGUAUUUCUUUCAAAAUUUAUGCAUAAGGUAGUCUAGGAUUUGUCAUAUUAUAAAUUUUGGUCAUGACUGGAUUUAUUUAGGCACCAUAGUACUAAUUCAGUAACGAAUAUUGGGUUCAUACGAUGACAUUGGAAUAAAUGGCACAAUAAUCCCUUAUGGACAAGUAUGCGUCACUGUAAAAGCCAGCUUACACAAAUGUUUGGAAAAGCAUGAUCCAUUGAUAAACCCAUUGUGUGUUAAAGUGAAGAUUGGCCUACUGAAGUCUCAAACUUACACAAAGGCAGCAUAUAUGAAAUGAGAUGAUUCUAUGACAGUGCUAACAUUUCAUUUGAACUUCACAUUCGUGUAAACUGGAGUUGGAAAGACUAGCAUCAAGUGUGGAGGUAAAGAUAACACCAUUGGGCAUAAAUUUAGAUGUUCAUAGGGGCCAAGCAUCUUGCAGUACAAUGAGCUGAAAACUGGACUGGUUCGGAGAGUUGUAAUUGGUCCUUUAAGUGCUUUAAGAACAUCAGCAAACAUUAGAACAUGGACCUUGAAGUUGACAAUGAGUUACUCAAAAGUGCAGAUAGCCAAUGAUGCAAGAACACUGGGCAGAUGUGCGUUUGGAUUUACCUUUUCCAUUAGUAGCGAAAAAGUCCACCUAAAAGGUCAGUGAAUCCUUUAAUUUCUUUUGAAUUUGUUGUGGAGGCGAGUUAGGAAUGUAUUCCUUGUUAUUAAUUUGGUGGAUAUACUGCUAUGGUAAUGGAGACUUGCCAAACCAAAUCGUGUUUUCCCCAUUUGAAGUGUUUAGAAGUUUCUCCGAUACAUUAAAAUGUGUCAACAAGUCGAGGAGGAGCUUGACAAGGUGCAGGCGGUGAUUCACACAUGAACAGAUGGAGCCUUUAUGCAGCUUUUCAAGCUGUGGUAGUACGGCAAUGACGACGACGUGCCUCCAGCUAGGGUCGAAUGCGUAUCGAGGGUAUUAACAAGCUCCUCUCACAAUGAAAAACUUUUUUUCUUAGAAUCAGCUGUUUUAAUUGUAUCAACCGAUUGGGCUGAUGAUGUAAUAUAGUCGGUGUGACUGCUGCAUGAAGUACUUACCAGGGUAUUAACAAGUAAACUUUGGAUCCCUCUCGCUACUGCUCAUUGAUUCUGAAUACUCAUUUAUAGGAGUAUUGUUUUUGAGAAGCAGGAAUAUCUACAUUAUUUACAUUGAGAUAUCGGUUGCAUUGUGAUCUGCAGGUGAGACUGGGGUAGGCAGGAGCCUGCCGUACCGUGUUAGUACAUGACGUUGAUGUCCAUCUCAUCGACAUGGUUCGUUGCCGUCUACCUCAACAUCGCUGAGCAGGCACUUUGGUACUCUUACUCCAUUACGAGAGCUCUGGUUCUCUUGCUCUUGCAUUGCAAGUGUAAUUACACAUUUUUUUCCCCUUGUAUUGAAGUCUUUACCUGUGAACGUUUUAGUCAUAAUUUCUUAAUAAUUAAGUGACCGCUGAAUGUAACUGUGUAUUAUAUUUACUUCACCAUGCCAUCAUUAGAAUACAGAAAUGGUAUGUUUUACUUUAUGAGUUC